ACGGCUGGAAGUGGUGGUGGGGGAAAGCCAGCCACCUUCACUGUGGCUUUCGCUCUUAGUGUCGUCUUUGCUCUAGUCCUAGUUCUUUAGAGCCCAGCACUCAACCAUAGAAGGGCUUCCUUACACCCUCGAGGGCUGCUGUUCAACCCUGUGUAUGAACUCCCUUCUCAGACGAGCCUGACUGAGUAUAUUACAAACAACACUGGGACUGAAGGUGGAGCUCUGGCAGCACUGGUCCAUGAGGCUGAGUUCUUCCUCCAGCGACUACAACAUGCACAGCUGUUUCAUAAUAGUGCCUUGUACACAGUAGGCAGCUAGUGAACAUUCACUGAUGGAUUAUAAAACAGAGAAGGAGUGAAGAGCAUCUAUAUGAGGAUUCUGUGUGCAUUUGCAACUUCGUUUGUCCACUCAGAGCCCUGUCCACCACAUCAGAUCAUCGUGGACAGACAACAAGAUGGACUGCCCUGCCGAGGUUAUGACUGUUAGCAAUGCUUGGGACGGACUGCAGAGAGAAGGCUGGAACCAUAAAGAAGCUGUCAGAGCCAGUGGUCAGCUGCGUUGGAACGGGAUGACCUUUGAAGGAAGAGCAAGUUCAUUUUCCAAAGCAUUAACUAUGUGGGAAAGUGUCUAUAAUUUAGAUUAAAA